rnacentral:rRNA from 1 species
ACUCCUACGGGAGGCAGCAGUGGGGAAUAUUGUACAAUGGGCGCAAGCCUGAUGCAGCAACGCCGUGUGAGUGAAGAAGGUUUUCGGAUCGUAAAACUCUGUCCUAAGGGAAGAAACAAAUGACGGUACCUUAGGAGGAAGCCCGGCUAACUACGUGCCAGCAGCCGCGGUAAUACGUAGGGGGCAAGCGUUAUCCGGAAUCACUGGGGCGUAAAGGGUGCGUAGGCGGCUUAGCAAGCCAGGGGUGAAAGGCAUUGGCUCAACCAAUGUAAGCCUUUGGAACUGUUAAGCUUGAGUGCAGGAGAGGUAAGUGGAAUUCCUAGUGUAGAGGUGAAAUUCGUAGAUAUUAGGAGGAACACCAGUGGCGAAGGCGACUUACUGGACUGUAACUGACGCUGAUGCACGAAAGCGUGGGUAGCGAACAGGAUUAGAUACCCUGGUAGCACAGAG